GUUUCCCUGGGGUGUGCGUGAUUUAUGCCUCGGUGCUAACCUGACAAGUAUUGUUAAAGGGAGCCGUCACUGUCUCUUGUGUGCACGCCCGGCGCGACCGGGAAGCCUGAGAGGGGCACACAGGCGCCCGACCUGGGUAUCCAGGUUUCUGUACCGCAAGCAUGACACGGCGCUCUGGGGAAGCG
rnacentral:other from 2 species